GCCCGAAUAGCUCAGUCGGUAGAGCGGUUCAUUCGUAAUGAAUAGGUCGCAGGUUCGAUUCCUGUUUCGGGCUCCA
rnacentral:tRNA from 1 species